GACGAACGCUGGCGGCGUGCCUAAUACAUGCAAGUCGAGCGGACUGAUUAAGAGCUUGCUCUUAUGACGUUAGCGGCGGACGGGUGAGUAACACGUGGACAACCUGCCCUGUAGAUCGGGAUAACACCGAGAAAUCGGUUCUAAUACCGGGUAAUAUCUGAGAUCACAUUAUCUUAGGUUAAAAGAUGGCUCCGGCUAUCACUACAGGAUGGGCCCGCGGCGCAUUAGCUAGUUGGUAAGGUAAUGGCUUACCAAGGCGACGAUGCGUAGCCGCCCUGAGAGGGUGACCGGCCACACUGGGACAGAGACACGGCCCAGACACCUGCGGGAGGCAGCAGUAUGGAGUCUUCCGCAAUGGACGGAAGUCUGACGGAGCAACGCCGCGUGAGUGAUGAAGGGUUUCGGCUCGUAAAGCUCUGUUGUUAGGGAAGAAACAGUACCGAACGAACUAGGUCGGUACCUUGACGGUACCUAAACAGAAAGCCACGGCUAACUACGUG
rnacentral:rRNA from 1 species